UUUGGGAGGCCAAGGCAGGAGGAUUGCUUGAGCCCAGGAGUUUGAGACCAAUCUGGGCAACAAAGUGAGACCCUCUCUCUACCAAA
ensembl:miRNA